rnacentral:tRNA from 1 species
GGUUGUGGCUCAGUGGUAGAGCACUGCCUCGAAUGUGUGAGACCCUGGGUUCGACCCUCAGCACCA